CCCAGAGCCAGUCCACAUCCUCAGGCUCAACUGUGAGUGAUGAAUCAGGUCCAUCUCCAUCCUCUACAGUGCUCUCUCACACACCUCCAUCCUCUGUGCCCACUGUCCCCUCCAUGUCUGAAACCACAGCUGAUUUAUCUACAACUUCCACCACAACAUCCCCUUCACACCAUGGACCAUCAUCAGCUCCGCCAGUUGACCCAGCUGAGUGGCCUUCUUUCCUCUCAGAUUCAGACAGGACUGAGCAG